CAGACACAUCGAGAACUGGCGCGGCCUGCACACGCUCAACGCCGUGGACAUGGAGCUCUACACCGGCCUCCAGAAGCUGACCAUCAAGAACUCAGGACUUCGGAGCAUCCAGCCCAGAGCCUUCGCCAAGAACCCUCACCUGCGCUACAUAAACCUGUCGAGUAACCGGCUCACCACUCUCUCGUGGCAGCUCUUCCAGACGCUCAGUCUCCGGGAACUGUAAGUGG